rnacentral:rRNA from 1 species
AUUGAACGCUGGCGGCAGGCUUAACACAUGCAAGUCGAGCGGAGAGAGGUAGCUUGCUACUGAUCUUAGCGGCGGACGGGUGAGUAAUGCUUAGGAAUCUGCCUAUUAGUGGGGGACAACAUUUCGAAAGGAAUGCUAAUACCGCAUACGUCCUACGGGAGAAAGCAGGGGAUCUUCGGACCUUGCGCUAAUAGAUGAGCCUAAGUCGGAUUAGCUAGUUGGUGGGGUAAAGGCCUACCAAGGCGACGAUCUGUAGCGGGUCUGAGAGGAUGAUCCGCCACACUGGGACUGAGACACGGCCCAGACUCCUACGGGAGGCAGCAGUGGGGAAUAUUGGACAAUGGGCGCAAGCCUGAUCCAGCCAUGCCGCGUGUGUGAAGAAGGCCUUAUAGUUGUAAAGCACUUUAAGCGAGGAGGAGGCUACUUUAGUUAAUACCUAGAGAUAGUGGACGUUACUCGCAGAAUAAGCACCGGCUAACUCUGUGCCAGCAGCCGCGGUAAUACAGAGGGUGCAAGCGUUAAUCGGAUUUACUGGGCGUAAAGCGCGCGUAGGCGGCUAAUUAAGUCAAAUGUGAAAUCCCCGAGCUUAACUUGGGAAUUGCAUUCGAUACUGGUUAGCUAGAGUGUGGGAGAGGAUGGUAGAAUUCCAGGUGUAGCGGUGAAAUGCGUAGAGAUCUGGAGGAAUACCGAUGGCGAAGGCAGCCAUCUGGCCUAACACUGACGCUGAGGUGCGAAAGCAUGGGGAGCAAACAGGAUUAGAUACCCUGGUAGUCCAUGCCGUAAACGAUGUCUACUAGCCGUUGGGGCCUUUGAGGCUUUAGUGGCGCAGCUAACGCGAUAAGUAGACCGCCUGGGGAGUACGGUCGCAAGACUAAAACUCAAAUGAAUUGACGGGGGCCCGCACAAGCGGUGGAGCAUGUGGUUUAAUUCGAUGCAACGCGAAGAACCUUACCUGGCCUUGACAUAGUAAGAACUUUCCAGAGAUGGAUUGGUGCCUUCGGGAACUUACAUACAGGUGCUGCAUGGCUGUCGUCAGCUCGUGUCGUGAGAUGUUGGGUUAAGUCCCGCAACGAGCGCAACCCUUUUCCUUAUUUGCCAGCGAGUAAUGUCGGGAACUUUAAGGAUACUGCCAGUGACAAACUGGAGGAAGGCGGGGACGACGUCAAGUCAUCAUGGCCCUUACGGCCAGGGCUACACACGUGCUACAAUGGUCGGUACAAAGGGUUGCUACCUAGCGAUAGGAUGCUAAUCUCAAAAAGCCGAUCGUAGUCCGGAUUGGAGUCUGCAACUCGACUCCAUGAAGUCGGAAUCGCUAGUAAUCGCGGAUCAGAAUGCCGCGGUGAAUACGUUCCCGGGCCU